GGAGCGUAGCAGGAGGAAUGGCAGUGCUAGUCCCUGCAUUGUCGGGAGUUCAGAGCAGAGACGUCUUUUGUCCAGGUCUGAAGGUGGCACUGCAGAGACCUGCCCAUUUGCAACUCUGAUCUAGGUCAGCAAUAUCUCCUGGAAAAGCCCAGGCUACAGGAAGGCCCUGUGUAGCAAGAAAUGGACACAAGACAGCGUCGUCAACAUCUGUCACAUUGAAAUGCGGGUUCCUGGAGAAUGUUAGUUUCCCCACCUGCCAUCCUCUGCAUUUAUCUCUUACUAGCAGUGUCAUUCCCUGAGUGAGUGUCAGAGCAAAUUACGAGAAAGCCAGAUCUUCAGUCCUCAGGAUGAGAAGUGUGGGUGGGGAGAGAAAGGGAGGCAAAGUCAACUCAAAGGUCACGAAGUUGCCGUCUGCUGGACCAAAACUUACCAGCAGUUUAUUAAUACCUCCAGCCGAUGUUACAGUUGUGGCUUUACGGGGAAGGAGAGAUGAAGUUUCACUACAUUGCCCAGGCUAGUGUUGAACUCCUAACCUCAAGUGAUCCUCCUGCCUCAGCCUCCUGAGUUGCUGGGAUUACAGAGCUGUCAAUCAAGGUGUCUUCUCUGCCUUAUCUGGCCAAGAUACAACCAAACACCCAGACUGGGCCAAUCAGACUACUGGGAAUCUCGCUUUGGAGCAGAGCAAAGAAAAGACCCAGAAGAUGUUUGGAGCCCCUCUACUCUAACUGUGAAGCCCUGGCCAGAGAGAGAAUUCCUGUGGUGGAGAAUUGUCCUGGCUUCUGCCUUGUUCUGGGCCUUGUUCUCUGGGCUUCUUUUGAAUUCUGUGAGCCACAUACAUCCUUCCAAUACAUUCAUUUACUGCUGAUGUCAA
rnacentral:lncRNA from 1 species